UACGAAGGGGGCUAGCGUUGUUCGGAAUUACUGGGCGUAAAGCGCACGUAGGCGGACAUUUAAGUCAGGGGUGAAAUCCCAGAGCUCAACUCUGGAACUGCCUUUGAUACUGGGUGUCUUGAGUAUGGAAGAGGUGAGUGGAAUUCCGAGUGUAGAGGUGAAAUUCGUAGAUAUUCGGAGGAACACCAGUGGCGAAGGCGACUCACUGGACACAUAUUGACGCUGAGGUGCGAAAGCGUGGGGAGCAAACAGG
rnacentral:rRNA from 1 species